GUUGUAACUAGCAGAGUGCUCCUCGUGAAGAAGACUACAAGCAUAGUACGAAUUAAGAGGACGACAAUCAACCUUGGAGGAAUGCUAAUUCUUUCUUUUUCGGAUCUUUUUACAAGAAUAUCUAUUCCAUAAAAUUUCUUCUGUUCGAGUUCAGUUCCCACUCCAUCUACUGGAGGAGACAUGAACCCCGGAGUCGGUGCCUGCUAUCCAAUCGCACCUGUUCUGGAGGCCUAUCAACUAAGAGAUGUGAUAGUAUCACGGCGUCUCAAUUAUCAGAUAAGUUAUUACGGUUUCUUAUUAGUUCCAACAAUCUAAGUUGAUUAAUUGUUCGGUUAUAGUAAUAUUAGUUUGACAUGGCUGCUGAGAAUGUUUAUGUUGCUUAACCUAAUAAUACUCUUAUUACUAUGCCUGAAAACAUUAUCACUGACUUGUCCAAAUUUGAACCUUUGAAUGAAAAGAACUUCAAAUGUUGGUAAGAAAAAACAUCCUUCUAUUUUUAAGAGUCUGAUAUUGAUUAUGUGUUACGUUAGGAAAUUGUUAUUGAUGAUUCUGCCACUGGUUAUUAUAAUACUAAGAAAGCUAAGGACAAUUGUAUUGUUAGAGGAGUUAUGUUGCAUUACAUAGACAACUCUUUGUUUGAUAUAUACUAUAAAUGAAUUGUGCUAAAGAAAUAUGGACCGCUCUUGAUUCUAAGUAUGAUUAUAAUGAUGCUUGGUACCAAUAAGUAUGUUGUUGCUAAGUGGCUUAUGUUUGAGAUUGUAGAUGACAAGCCUAUUAUGGACCAAAUUCAUUGAUUUGAUGUUUGUUAAUUUGUGAUCACUUUCAAGCUAAUGCACUCAUCGAGAAGUUACCUUCUUCUUGGGGAGAGUACAAGAAGAAUUUGAUGCACAAGAGAAAGGAUAUGAAGCUGCAAGAAUUGAUUGCUCAUAUCAAGAUUGAGGAUGCUAAAGAAACCAAGAACGUGUUAAGACUAAUGCUUCUAACUUUGUUGUUAUUGUUAAAUAUAAAAUUGCAGGUAUAUACAAGAGUGGUGGCCAAACAAGAAGCGCAAAAGGUUUGAUGGAGAAUGCUUAUACUGUCACAAGAAAGGACAAUUUUUUCUGCCAAUUGUCAUGCUAGGAUUGCAAGCGAGAAGAAUGGAAACAAAGGUAACAAAGGCAACCAAAAAAGUUACAACAAAAACUACAAGGCUCAUAUAAACAAUUCGGGUCAAGGAAAUCCUCAAGCUGAUCUCCAUGAAACCUGUGAGGAUGUGUUGUUGUUGUUCUCUCUAAAGUCAAAUUGGUUGAAAAUCAAGUUGAGUGAAUUGUUGCUACUGGAGCUACAUGUCACAUCAGUGCCAACAAGGAUUUCUUCAAGGAGCUCAAAGAUUAUGGUGAUGGUGAGUAUUGCGUACAUGGGAAACUCCAGCAGCAAAGUUCGGGUCCAUGACAAAGGAAAGGUAUCAAUGAAAGGAGCAAAGAGAAUACUAAGUCAAAGAAGAAAUCAAGUUUGGAUUUUGAAGAUUAGUAAAGAUGAUCAAGGAAUUGCUACUGGAGAAGCGCUGGAACAAGAAGACCAAAGCAAGCUUUAUGUUUCUAGUUCCAAUGUAAAGGAACGAGUAAGAAUGGCAAGGAGCUAUGGCAAUCUAGAAUGAAAAUGAGCAUCUGUUCUUUUGUAAGGAACAUACGAACUGAUACUGUCAUAUUAAGUUUAAAGGAACUAACUAUUAAAAGGAACUUAGACAUUG